GACGAAGGAUGCAAGCGUUAUCCGGAUUCAUUGGGUUUAAAGGGUGCGUAGGCGGCCAGAUAAGUCAGUGGUGAAAUCCUGUUGCUUAACAACAGAACUGCCAUUGAUACUGUUUGGCUUGAGUAUAGUUGCUGUGGGCGGAAUAUGACAUGUAGUGGUGAAAUACAUAGAGAUGUCAUAGAACACCGAUUGCGAAGGCAGCUCACAAAGCUAUAACUGACGCUGAGGCACGAAAGUGCGGGGAUCAAACAGG
rnacentral:rRNA from 1 species